GACCUUGUAGCUCAGUUGGUAGAUUAUUGGACUAGAAAAACAAAGGUCGUGGGUUCGAAUCCCACCACAGUCA